GGAGAGGGUAUAGCUCAGUGGUUGAGUGCUUGCUUAGCAUGCAAGAGAUCCUGGGUUCAAUCCCCAGUACCUCCA
rnacentral:tRNA from 1 species